ensembl:lncRNA
CUGAGAAGGCCCUGGGGAGAUCUCCCUGCAACCCUCCAUUACCUGAGGGGAGAGAAAAAGCAUUUGUUUGGGACUCAGAAGCUUCUAAGUCGUUGGUGCCUUGUCAAAUUAAAUAAUUACAGAUAACGGCGUGAAGGGUUUUCUCAAAGCACGGGGCAUAAUUGGCAAGAUCCCUAGUACUCACAAUACUCAAAAAAACCUAAAUACCCAUUUGAUUCAGAAUACAGAAAUCCUUUGGGACAAUACAGCUCAGGUUCAGUGAAAUAUAUAUACUUUCACAUUUGAAGAUGCCAAAAGCUGAAAGAACUAGAAAUCUGCAUUGUUUUACGGAUACAGUGGCAACUGCACAACUGAACAACGUGUGACCUUCCUGAUACCCCUAGGAGCAUAUAGGUUGCUGUGUUGCGAAUUGUCUACAGUCUAGAUAGGAUCCACCGGGGUCCACAUUCAUGAAGAACUGAAACGGUCCAAUCAGUAAGAGACAAAAGCAUUUAUCAACAUCUGGAAAUCACUUUCACUGAUCAGCAGUUACAGUCUGCCAAUAUCUCUUAGAAAGAAAAAAAAUGUCAACAAAUUAGAAGGAACAGAGAAAAUGGUAAAAAAUAAAAAUGAAAUUAAUGUGUUGAAGAAUUGGUGAAGGACGAAAGAAUAAAAGACCCGAAUUUGUGAAGUCAUUAAGUGACAGCUGAUAUUUUACUGAAGAAGCCAAAGGAGGAGAAAAAUUGUUUGGAACAGAUUCGUGCGAAUCAACAGUGCAUGUGCAAUCACAGUGCAAGAUGGACACACCUAACGGGCAAAUGUAUUUGUUCCCUG